GUAGUUCUGUUCUAAACAUGGUU
rnacentral:siRNA from 1 species